AAUCAUAGUUUCUUGUCGCGGCGGCUUGCUCGGGAAAACCGAUGUUGUGUAUAUCAUUCUUUUUUUCUUGAAAAUGUGAUCUAUUAAAAUGGAGUGACAAAUAGUGGAUUUUGUAGGUUAAAUGCGAGUAUAAGGAUUGAAGAAUUCUUCUUCAUGGUUUUACGAGAUCGAUAUCACAAAAUCUGACCUGGAAAUCAAUUAUUUUUGGAAUCUCAAGUGAUUGCACGAUUCUAGGUGGAAUGCUACACGAUGAUAAAAAGGAGGUGGAUGAAAAAGCUAGAGAAAGAGAUGAUAUUGAUGAAGAAAUGUCAACUUCAAAACCUUAAAAAAUGCUAGAUUUUGAUAAGUAAAAUGUCUGACAACAUAAACAAAUUGAGGCAUGGUAGAGUGGCUCUGUAUGCUUCUGUUCAGAUAGAAAGAGCUAGACCCCUUUCUCUAGCCGUUUGUGCCACUUCAUUUGAUAUUGAAGCACCGUCUUGUGAAGUUCAUUCAUCUUUGUCAUCAUCCUCCCGGAGACAUGAGUCCCCUGUUGUUACCCCUGAUAUCCCACAAGCCCAACAUAUUAUUGUCGUUCCUGAUGUUUAUCUAGAAGACCCUUCAAACACUUCAUUGCUUUCUCUAAAUGCAGACCAUGUUGGUAAGCACAUAUGGGGUGAAGAUGUAAAAUAAAUCUGUAUUUAUUCUUUUAAAUAUUCUGACGUUAUAAGAUUUGAACAUUCUAACGUUAAUGUAUUUUUUUUACAA